rnacentral:pre_miRNA from 1 species
AUCUCUAGCUACAUCGCCCUCGCGAAGGCGGGGGCCCAUAGCACACCACCGAAUCCGGUUACAUAGAAUAGGCCCCCGCCUUCGCGAGGGCGAUGUGCUAACCCA